rnacentral:rRNA from 1 species
UACAGAGGGUGCAAGCGUUGUUCGGAAUUAUUGGGCGUAAAGCGCGUGUAGGCGGCGUGACAAGUCGGGUGUGAAAGCCCUCAGCUCAACUGAGGAAGUGCGCCCGAAACUGUCGUGCUUGAGUGCCGGAGAGGGUGGCGGAAUUCCCCAAGUAGAGGUGAAAUUCGUAGAUAUGGGGAGGAACACCGGUGGCGAAGGCGGCCACCUGGACGGUAACUGACGCUGAGACGCGAAAGCGUGGGGAGCAAACAGGAUUAGAUACCCCCGUAGUCC